GUGGUUUCUGUGGAUUAUAUUCCAAUUCUGUGAGGAACUUUAUGGCAGCCUUUUCUCCUUUUCAGCGUGCGUCGGACACCUGUCUACUAAGGACAUACCUUGCACCAGGAGCUGUGCGAGCAGCUGGCGAUCCUAGGAUAGAAGAAGGCGGUCCCGGGGGAGGAGACAAGGGACAGAGGGAGAAGAAGAGAGAGAAUCUUAAACAGGCUCCAGGCCCAGCACAGAGCCCCAGUCCCCUCAUUCCUCAAAAGUCAGUUCGAACCUGACCCCUGGAGGACGUCUUCUCAGUCUCGUCUUCCUUGGCAAGUUUUGAUCAAAGGUCACCUUCUGAAUGUCUCCAGAAACCUCAAAUCCCUGGCACGAUGCCACCCACACAACAGAAGGCUCUCCGUUGGCAGGAACAUUAUUUUACCGGAAACUCUUGGCUCGCCAGAUGAGAACCAUUUUACUCACCAUCCUGCUUUCCCGGUGGUUUUCUCUUUUCUCCAAGAUCUGAUCUGAAGCCUGUAGAAAUGAGAGCCUUUGAGGCUAAGGGGGAGGCGGGGCCUGGAAGCCAAGUGAGCCGUAAGGAAGUUGAAGCGAGCGAGUCUCCCUUAGAGAUGAGAUUUUCUAGAGAGAGAUUUGGCAAUAAAAUAGAGAUCUCAGCAGCUUAAGGGGGGCAACAGAAUCCGGAGAAAGGUUUGAUCAUAUUAUUUGUCCCUUUUAUCAUGAUUAGCAGCGUGGUGAGACCCUGAGUAUGUUUGUCGUCCAAAAAUGAGGGGCUAGUGAACGUAGCAGGGAGGCUUGAUGCAGGUUGCUGUUAGGAGGGUAGAGGGACAGGUCAGCAGCCCUAGAGCUUUGGAAAGGAAAAAGUCCAUCCGUUAGGUUGAGAGAAUUAACAUGAAAUAGCCUCCAUCUUCUCAGUAAAGCAGGCAGGAAGGAAGAGAAGCUCCAAGGUCACUCCUUGGGUCACCCCAUAGGUUUUGACUGCUUUGUUCAGCACUAUAUCCCUCAGAAGAGUAAGACACCUAGUAGGUGCUCAAUAAAUACUUGUUGAAUGGGGGAUUUGAUUGAAACUGUUUGAAAGAAGAUGGGAAGAUCUCCAAGCAUAGACUCAGUAGGUAAGGUGAAUAGCUGUUCUAUAGCCUGAUCAGACCCAGAGCGGGUUUCAUUGGGGGCAUUUACAUUCCUUCCAUGCCCAUAAGCACUGUUUUCAAUAAAGGGAACAGAUGUAGGUCUUGUUGCCAAAUGAUACCCUCAUGCCCUGGCAGCCCAUGUGUGGUCAUCUCCAAAGCUUUAAUAAACCCCGUCGCCGCCUGGUGGGAGGGCAGGGUUUCACAUGUGGCUCUUGGGAUGAGUUGUCCUUUGGGGCAGUACCUGUAAUUAAUUCUCCUCUUUGGUCCUGCCCUUCUAGAAAGCUGGCAACCCUUGAAAACAAGCUACGACCAUCCCGAGCUCUCUCACUGUUCAGCGUUGGCCCCAGUGAGGGGGUUAAGGCUGUAUUCUUCUAUUUCUUCUUGGAAAAUGAAGUCAGGCCAGAUUAAGGUUGCCACUGACAAGGCCAUGUGAGCAGCAUCCUCCUGGUGGUGGCCGCAAUGCUCUGUACCUUGUAAAGCUCUGUGCGCAUCCUAUCCAUCACUUACCAUCAGGAUGAUCCCAAAGCGGAAGGCGCAUACGUCUUAAGUGAAUGGUCACAAAGCGGAUACACCUGUGCACCCACCACCCAGGUAAAGGACUAGAACAUGACCAGCAUCCCUGAAGCCCUUCCCCAGGCCUCUCCAGGUCCCUGACCUCUCUUCCCCAAGGGAGCAGACUGUUGCCAUGUUACAAGGACAUCAGGAUCGCAAACAUUAGGCAACAAGGAGCUUCUGCUUUUUUGCAGAAGCAGAAUGGACUUUGUCCACACAUGCCACAAUCUACAGAUGCUAUUGCCCCUGCCUUGGCAUGAGAGCCAGCUGGGAUGUUCCCUGGUCCUCCGUGCUCUCAGGGUUUCAGGAUUGACAUCGCCUCCCACAUGGUGAGCCCCUGGGCAGUAAGGUCUUCUAUGUCUGCUGUUGAGGCCAUGUAUGGCCUCAGGCUGGAAGGGACCUUGAGGUAAUGUAGGGAGUUUACUUAUAUCUGUCCUAAUCUUUAUGGGUCCUGUGCUUCUUAUUCUUCCAAUGUAAAUAGUCAUGGGAGCCCACAGAUUUUCGGGCUCCUCCAAUUAAAUAAAUUUUGCUGGACUUCUCCCUCUUCUGUGCCAAGGACAGAGUAUAAGGAACCUGAAAGAUCAGGUUUAGGUUGGUCAGGAAAUUCUCAGGUGAACACUCCACUGGCGGCAAGGUGUGUUAGCCCUUUUAAUCUAGGAGGGAGAUCCCUACCUAAGAGAUUGACAGGAACUGAUUGACACAACAAAAAGGAAUGUUUUUCAGUAAGAGGCCUGAGUCAUUCGUACUCGUAGAGAUAAAAAUUGUCUCUGAAUUUUAACAGACGCCCCACCCUACCCCCAACUCUGGAAACCUCCUUUUUACUUAAGUGUUUGUCAUCUUGAGGGUGGGGUUUAAGGCAGAGUGUAACUCCAGUAUCUAUUACAGUUUGCCAAGGUUUCUCAUUAAUCUUAACUUUGGUUUUUCCUUGGCAACUUAAGGGAAUUUCUGAUAAUAGUUUUGCAGAGCAGCCUCCAGAAUCUCUUCAGCUGUGUGAAGGGCUCUCCUCUGAAGGUCACUAUGAGGCCACCGGAGAAGAAUUUGCAUAGGACCUUUGAGGACAAGCUCUUUUCCAGUGCCCCAGUGGAUUACAGCUGCGACCUUGAUCUUUGCACCAGCUUGAUCAUUAUCCAGCCAGCGUCUGGAUAAUGGACCCUACCUAGCAAGGUGCAGUGGGGGAGGCCCAGGUGUUGUUUUGGGUCUCUGGCCUUGGAGUUGUAAAGCUAAUAGCUUGGCAGAUUUUUGUUUGCAAUCUUACUCCAGGGUCCUUUGAAAAUGCUCAGCUGUAGUCAUGAGUUCAGUCAGACUGGUGGCCUCCCAUCCUACUUUCUGCCUUUGUAUUGAUCCACUAAUCUCAGCAGAUAAUCCAUAUACAAAGAGGGCAGCCAGAGCAGACUGGGUGACCUUAUUUAUUGCAUGGAACCCCAAAUGCCAUAGAGAAAGGACUACAAACAGCCUUUAAAGUCUGCCCGAGAGUCAUCUCUUUUUGUUUGUAAGUUCAUAUAAUAGACCAAUAAAGACGAGCAGGGAAGACUCUAGAAGUGGCUUAUAAAAAUUUGGCUGUGGGGCACCUGAGUGGCUCAGUCUGGUUAAGCACGUGCCUUUGGCUCAGGUCAUGAUCCUGGAGUCCUGGGAUCGAGCCCCAUGUCAGGGCUUCCUGCUAGCGGGAAGU